UACGUAGGGGGCAAGCGUUGUCCGGAUUUAUUGGGCGUAAAGCGCUCGUAGGUGGUUCGAUGCGUCGUGCGUGAAAGACCCCGGCUCAACUGGGGGGUGUCGUGCGAUACGGUCGGACUGGAGGCCAGUAGGGGGAUGCGGAAUUCCGGGUGUAGUGGUGGAAUGCGUAGAGAUCCGGAGGAACACCAGCGGCGAAGGCGGCAUCCUGGACUGGUCCUGACACUCAUGAGCGAAAGCGUGGGGAGCAAACAGG
rnacentral:rRNA from 1 species